GUUGCUGGCCCCCCCAUACGGGGGCAUGUGCACACUCUGUUUAACAUCCACUUCCCCCUGUGCACCCUCCGUAAUUCUGGGGCCUGGGUGGGGCUCUGUCCUCCUGCCGUGGUUCUAUGUCUUUACCCCCCCCCACUAUAAAAAUGUCUCAUGGAAUGUAGGUCGCGUUUAACCCAAUGAAAUACAACUUUCACCAACGGAUCUCUUGGCUCUCGCAUCCAU
rnacentral:misc_RNA from 1 species